GACGAACGCUGGCGGCGUGCUUAACACAUGCAAGUCGAACGGUGAAACGCCUUGCUUUUUGCUGUGUGUGUAUGAGUGGCCGACUGGUGAGUACCACGUUAGCCACCUUCCCCCUUCUUCUGGAUAACCGCAUGAAGGUGUGGCUAAUACGGGAUAUUCUGGGUCUGUCGCAUGAUGGGUCUAGGAAGGAUAUGCUUUCGGUGAUGGAUGGGCUCGCGGCGGAUUAGCUGGUUGGUGGGGUGACGGCCUACCAAGGCAGCGAUGCGUAGCCGGCCUGAGAGGGUGGUCGGCGACAAUAGAGCGGAGACGCGGCCCAGCAGACUACGGGAGGCGGCAGUAGGGAAUAUUACGGAAUAGGCGAAAGCAGGACGAAGCAGCGACGCGGGAGUGAUGAAGGACGUCGGAGCGUAAAACUCUGUUAUCGGGAAAGAACCAAGGUGGAAGUGACUAUGCACGUGUUGACGGUAGCUGGUCAGAAAGCGACGGCUAACUACGUG
rnacentral:rRNA from 1 species